GAGACCUUUGGGAUAGCAUUGAAAAUGUAAACGAGGAAAAUACCUAAUAAAAAAAAUAUAUAUAUUAAAAAAAAAGAAUUAUGACGAACCUUGAGGGUUCCCGGAUGUUGUAAUACUUCAUAGCUAUUUUCAAACAUCUUUCCUCUCAGCCUCUGAGCUGAUUAACUGCUCUGUUUACAGAAACCUGCUGAUGCCUUUUUAACAUGAGACACACUUUUCUCCUUUUGUUUAUUACCUUUCCCCUUUUCCUCUUCCAAGCUGAAGUAUCUGUUGGGGGAAACCUGGCCCCUGGGUGAAUAAGCACUGCUAGUUAAAGACUGGUACUGUGGAAAUACCGGCUAAUGAAGCACAAACUGUCAGAACACCUGUCACAGGUUACCAAAGUAGCAUCCCCAGGCUGGACACAAUCCCUCUCUUCUUCCGUUAAAUAAAGAGAAAAGCUCUUCUGAGAUCAACUCUCCUGUCAUGACGUGUUGGCUGUUCCAGACAAAAUGAGGCUGAGACGUCCUCAGGGUUUUGGUCAUAGGGAAUAUAAAAUCUCUCCUCCUUAAAGCAAGGCACAUCCAGCUCAUUACUCUUUGCUGUGGGGACUCUCCUGUAUGUUAGUAGCAGCCUUGGUCUUUACCUACAAGGUAGACCCUCCCAUCAGUGACAACAGAAAGUGUCCCCAGACACUGCCGAUUGGGGUCCGGAUGCAUAAGAUCAUCUCUAGUUGGAAUGAAUAUUCUAAAGCUGCCUCAGCUUGAGCAUGCAUGAAAAUCUCAGACCAGGAAUCACACAUGGAUGCCAGAUACUGCACGCAACGGAAGCUGUGACUGUGCCAUGCAAGUCUCCGAAUGUCCCCUUUUUGCCCCUCUGAACGCUUUGUGCAAGCAAGUGAGCACAGCUAUCUCAGGGAUGCCGUUCUCAAGUGUGGCAUGAGCAGCUCUCACCCCUGGCACGAGCCGCGGCGCUUGGAUUUCCUUUGCAAAGGGCACACAGAAUGAGUAUGUUCACAUGACUUCUUGGGAGAAUGAGGAACUGGCCUUAGUGAAGCGAGCUUCACAGAUGAUUGGUCUGCCAUCAAAAUAAAUGAACUAUCUAAUAAUGUCUGUUUUUAAAUAUUAUUAUGCCCAGCGAUGGACAUGAUUACCAAUGGAUUGAUCCUACUUUAAGCAAAAAACGAGUCUGUUGCUCUUCCUCCAUGCAACGUUUCCCCCUGUGAUAUUGUGUACACUGACAGAGGUUGCCACCUACAAACAGAGUAGAGAAUUCUUUUCCUUCCCUGUCUAAGUGGGUUUCUCUGGACACUAUAGUUGGUUCCUAUUUGCUUUUCUCAAUAAAGGGAGAUGUUAUACUUAGCAAUGGAGCCCUCCACAACCUUAGGCCCCACAGACCAUCAGCAUCCAGAUGUGCCUCACUACGCUUCAAACUCCUUAACUUCUAUGUGGAUAUAUAAAAAGUCAGCUGUCCAAGGACACACUAGGCUGUUACAUGAGAUGGAGGGUAGCCCAGGAUCCAUGAGACCUUGUCUCAAAAACUAACAAAAUUUUUUUUUAAAAAAUGGCUUGGUAGCUUAUGCCUAUAAUUGUACCACUCAGAAAGCAGAGGCCGUUGUGUGGUCUAUUGUGAGUCUGAGUUCAAGGUCAGCCUAGGCUACAGAUAAAGAGGCCCUAUCUCAAAAAACAAAAAUG
rnacentral:lncRNA from 1 species